CAAAAGGAGAACAACACCUAUACUUAUCAUAAAGUGUAGUGGUUACACUUGUCCUAGAAGUAUAUACGAUUGCUCUUUACCCCCAUUCUUGCUAAACUAGACACUUUCAUUCUUAUUCUUUACCAACCUGGAAGGCAAAAGAUAGUAUCUCAUUUUAAUUUGCAUUUUCUAAAUAGGAUUUUAAGGAUCUUAGUAUUUUAUCUUGAGCAGAAGUGUAUCGGUCAAGGAAAACAGAAGUCAGUUUCUACUAAAAUAAGAAAAGCUAAGAAUGUUAGUACCCAGGAUAUAUUUUGAAACAAUUUAAAAUCAAGUGAAUUGAUUAAAACUGUAUUUUAGCUGUUCCUGGUAUUUAGGGAACCUUUUUUCUCUCUAAUCAUGCUGUGUAUAAUUGCAUAAAGACACAGCAGGAGAUAAACUUUUUAGGAAAAAAAAGCAAACAAAACUCUGAAGCCAAGUAGCAAAAGCAUUCCUCACGAUACAUGUCACUUUAAUUUCAUGUGGUAAUUAUUUUUACAAGCAUUUAGCACACAGUUUGAACCUCAGUUCAUAGAAGCCACCAUUUUUUCCAGAUAUGACAGAAUUGUGUGUUCAAAAAUAUGGCUAGAGGAGAAUUUCUGUUAAAACUUGUUGCAUAAAAAUUAAAAUUUUUUUGAAUGAUUGACAGAACCAAUAAAUUCUCUUUUCAGCUGACAAUUGUCUGUUUGCAUCAACAUCUUUUACCACACGAGGAACAUGUACAGAAUUUGAACCAUGAUGUACAAUGGGAAAAGUACUGCACUUCCUGGAGGGAAACUUGAGUUUAAACCCAGGAUUCAUUCAAGAAAAAGCUGCAUAACUGAGCCAGGUUAUCUUCACCUCUCUGGGCUUCAAUUCCAUAAUCUGCAAAAUGAAAAAGAUGCACUAGACAAUUUUAUAGGCCUUUUCCAAACCCAGUAUUUAGCUCUACUUUUUGUUUUAAGGACUGCAGCUACACACCUUCUUCUACAUGCCGUACAGUCUGGUUUCCUUUUCCAAGGACCCGUGCUGUGCUUUUGUCCAUGGCUCACCUUGUGUGGUGACGUCGAGACUUCUGAAGGUGUGAUAGCUGGAGGUGCAGCACAUCUUGUCACCACGAAGAUGAAAAUCAUGUGAUAUGGAUGGUGGGAUAAGAGGAUAGAAAAAGCCUGGUCCUUGAAAACAUUUGAUAUGGAAGACCAGUGCAUCUUACUGGACACAGAUGGAAAAAUAUCCCAACCCCAGCUCCACAAUGAAGCCAAAGUUUCCGCCCGUGACCCCUGCAGCAGCUGAUAG
ensembl:lncRNA